UACGUAGGGGGCAAGCGUUAUCCGGAUUUACUGGGUGUAAAGGGAGCGUAGACGGCUGUGCAAGCCAGAUGUGAAAGCCCGGGGCUCAACCCCGGGACUGCAUUUGGAACCGCGUGGCUUGAGUGUCGGAGAGGCAGGCGGAAUUCCUAGCGUAGCGGUGAAAUGCGUAGAUAUUAGGAGGAACACCAGUGGCGAAGGCGGCCUGCUGGACGAUGACUGACGUUGAGGCUCGAAAGCGUGGGGAGCAAACAGG
rnacentral:rRNA from 1 species